rnacentral:sRNA from 1 species
AUCUCUCACUGGACAUCCCAGCACAACGAAAUGCGUCAAAAGUUCGACUUUCCGAUUGUUUAAGCACAUUUUUCAAGUUAGAAAUGCUGGAAAAAGGCGAAAAACCGGAAUGCGCCAAGUGUAAAACGAAACAAACGUGCUCAAAGCAAAUGUUUAUUAGGAAAUUGCCACAGGUAGCCGGGAAAAGUGGCAAAAAUGACAUUUUUGCCCAUUUUUAACGGAAUUUUACAUGAAAAAUUACUGAAAAUCGCUGAAAAUCGCUGAAAAACGUCGAAAUUCCAAAUUUUUAGCUUGAAAAAUGGCAAAAAUCUGAGAAAUACGGCAUUUUUGUCGAUUUUUUACCCUAUUUUUCAUGAAAAACGACUGAAAAACGUCGAUUUUUAGCCAAGUUUGGGCUAAAAUCGCUGAAAUUCCCAAUUUUUUGCCGGAAAAAAGGCAAAAAUCGGAGAGAUUUCCAGCCGGAAAUGUAGCAAAAAUCUGAGAAAAAGCUGAUUUUCAGGCAUUUUCCGACUGAAAAACCAUGGAAAUUGAGAAAAUUAGCCGUUUUUAUCGAAAUUUCUGAUGAAAAAUCGAGAAAAGUGGCCGAAAAACGCUGAAAAUCCCGAUUUUUUCGAGUUUUCACCAAUUUUCUGUCCAAAAAUGCAAAAAUUCCUAAUUUUCUAGAUUUUUUCACCGGAAAAAAACUAGAAAAUCCAGGUUUUCAACCAAAAAAUUGCUAGAAAUUGACGAUUUUUGAGCAAAUUUCUAGAAAAAAGUCUCAAAAAAUCCAUUUUUUCGAUCAAAAAUUACUGAAAUCAUGAGAAUUUUCAGUUUUUCUAUCUAAAUUUUGAAUAUUUUCAGGUUCUCUGCCUCCAUAUGAAGCGAUUUCGGGAUAAUGGUGGAAAAAAUGAUGCGAUUAUCGAUUUUCCGAUGGGACAACUCGAUGUUACGCAAUUUUUGACCGAUG